CGUGUUAUAUGCCUUUAUUGUCACGUUUUAUUUUUCGUUGGUAUAUUGAUGGUAAUUAUUAAUUAGCCAGCGAAUAAAUUGACAAGCCCGAACAACUGUUCGGGCUUUUUUUUUGGUUCCA
rnacentral:sRNA from 1 species